GUUGUCUUGCAUAUUUUUAAAUAUUAUUUACAUCAUACUCUUUCUUAUAUAAUAUAUAUAUAUAUAUAUCGAAUAAAAAAAGUUGAAUGUUUCCUUUCGCUAGUUUUUUUAUCAGACACAAAUACUUAUAACAACACACUAUUUAUAAUAACAGACAGCAAAUAGGUUAAGGUGAAACAGAUGAGAAUAAAUUUAGAGAUGAUUCAUUUAUGAUUAUUUUUCAUUAAUUUAUAUACACAUAUAUUUUGAAGAAUUUUAAAAAUCGAAAGAGAUAUAAAAAUACAUUGAUAUACAAAAAUAUCGACUUAGGUUUAAUUAUCAAGUCAUUAUAUAAUAUUCAAUUGCUCGAUAAACUUGAUAUAUUAUUAAAUCGUAUUUAAUUUUUCGUAUAUCGAGUUUUUUCUUCGUUACAUCCGAAAUACAUUCGUCUCUUCGAAAAUAUUUUGCCACUUUGCCGUAUACUUGACAAAUAUUUGAAAAUAAAUUUAAUACUUAUUUAUUCGUGUGAAAUUUGAUUUGAUGAUUUAUUAACAUACAAACAUACAAUAAAGAUGUUACGUUAUUUUUUAAAUUUCUCAAAUAUUUGACAAAUAAAUCGAUAACACGAUAUCGAAUCGAAAGUUUUAACAAGUACUCUUAGAGAAAAGCUUAUCAACAAUAUCUUAAUCAGAUAAUUGAAGGAUGUCCCGUGUACGAAUAAACUUUCACAAUUUUUUCGAGCCACUCCACAAAAAUAUUAAAUCCACUUUGCUUCAAGUUAACAUUGACAAAUCUAUUUCCUGAAGUUUGACCGACGUCUAUCGGAUUACUAUAAUUUCUGUCGCAUUUAACGAUAUACAUAUACUAGAUUAUCUCUAUAAUAAAUACAAUACGUCAUUCAACGAAACGCUGUAACUGAUAAGUUAAAAUUUUUUCAAUUUUGCCUUCGAAGAUAUUCAUUACUUAUAAAAAUUGUGCGAUUUUACAAGUUUUUUUGAUAUCACUUUAUUUGAUUUGAUUAUCAUUUCACAUUGAAUUUUUGGCAAAAGCGUGUGAAAAAAAUAAAUCGAAAGUAGCAACGCCUGUAAGAGGAAAUAAUUGAGAAUUGAUUCUCUGGUAUUGCGAUGUAUUGUAAUUAAUGCAGUACAAGAACAGACUAAGUUAACAGUUAUAAAAAAAGGAUAUUACGUGCUGAAGAAACUUGACUUAUUAUCUCGAUUAUUAAAAUAAUAAUCGAACGUAUGUUGAAAAAAAUCAGUAACAAAAAAAAAAAAAAAGAAGUCAUUGUGACGUAUAUAAUAUCGCGUUAUAUUAUAUAAUUGUUGAUAACUAUUGUUGGAACUAUUGUAAUCGAGACUUUGAGGAUACUCUAUUAAGACAACACGUGGGACGAACGAGGGAAACGCUCGCCGUGCUCGACGACGACGAUCGAUUUUAAUAGCGGCAUAAAAUUUACAUUUCGGUCGAACGAUCGACAAAAUUACCAAGCUUUUGAACCGGCUUUCCUGAAAUAAAGUUGAACGCGACGAAAAUGGAGGAUUUCCAAUCAAAGUCGAGAAGUGAAGUAUCGUGGUCGGUCGUCUGAGCGGUGGAUCACGGAUAAAUUGGAAAACAAGGCCGUGAGGACAGUUUGUCAGGGCGGUGCCACUCAAUCCCAUUUGGAAAUAGUGGUGCGAACUAGAUGGUGAAAUCCCUUCGAAAUUACUUGUUCUCAAGAGCUGAAGAAUCGAGUAUAACGUUGAACGUGCGUUCAAUAAGAAUCAUUUUUAAAAAUAUCGAUGAAUCAUCCUUAACAUUACCCACAUAUGUCAGUCAUAAAAUUAUUCACAUCAAGAAACUUAUAUUGUGUAAUAUUUUAGAUGUAAAUCUAUUUUGAUUUUCAUAACAAAGUAAGGAUUUAUUGGAUCAAAGAUUUUUUACAACAAAUAAUCUUGUUAAAUGUACACUCAUGUAUUUUUAUUAGAUUAAAUAUAUUAAUUAAAUGUCAAAGAGAUCGCAAGUUUAAUCUCACGUUGGACGGUGUAUGGAACACCGUGAAGUGGUGUAAUUAUGCAAAUCGGCACCGAAACUUUUUAAUGAAAAUUUGUAAUCUCGAAUUUUCUAAGAACUCUAAACUUUCGAGAUGCGAUGAAAAUGUUAAUCAAACGGUGUCUCGAUGUUUCAGCGGGAUAUCCAACAGUCCUGUUGUGACUUGCUGUGUUUGCAUUUAAACGUAGCUAGACAAUCUUUGUUCGUUUUAAUGCAGUUUUAAUACCAUUUCUAUAUUCUUUGGAAAUAUCCUUUUGGAGGAUGGAUUUUAUUUCAGCAGAAGCUCAUUUGACAAAUCAAUUUAUAAUUAUAGUUACGUCGAUAUAUUUCAUCGAGCGUGGAAAUAAAAUGGGAAAAAUAAUACUUGAGUUUAUUAAAAAUUCUAUGUUUACGAUUAAUAUCUUUUUACGAAUGUUCCUAAUUCUCCUUUUCCUCGACGCAUUCUCGAAAUUCUAUUGUUUACAAGAGAAGAGAAAGAGAAGAGAAUUCUGCCAUGGGAAUAUUAUCGUGCGAGAUCCUUGAGAUCAGAAUUGUCGGUAAGUACGAUACUUUACCUCCUCUAUCGCUAAAAUAGUGAAUUUCUAUGGGAAGAAAAUACAUGACGUCAUAUAUCUUCAUAUACACUGCAUCACGUGACAUGAUGCUUCGUUUUAACGGAAACCUGGUCACGUGAUGUACCUUUGCUGUAUCCAGCAGUGAGAGCAAAUAAUAUAGCAGUCACUUUUAAUGGUGGAAGACGUAACGUGCUCGUAACAAUAUUACUCGCAAUUCUUUUAUUUUGUGCAUUGUUCAAUUUAUACAAUUAUCACUUAAAAUCAAUUAAUGAUCGAUCAAUGAUCGGUUAAUAGUCAAGUAUAACUUACUUAAUUUUUGUUAGUCUGUGUUCCAACAUAUGCGAUACGAUGUGACGUUAGCUCUGAUGGAAGCCUGAUAUACUUGUGUCUAACCAAGCAAUAAGAACAAAAUAGUAAUAGUCAUUUUUAAUGGUAGAGGGGAUAAUAUUUAAUCUGAUAACUUUCUUUGGAACUUUUUUACUUAGUGCAUCGUUCGACGCAUUACAUAAUGAUUAAUGAAAUAAACAGAACAAUAACAAUUCAAUUUUUGUUUCUUCCAUUAUGUGUUCAUUAUAUCAGUGAUACGAUACAAUACGGCUUUAAUCUCGGAAGGCUCGUCACGUGAUAUAUUCUUUGUCAGUUUUAACGACAAGGAAUUGCUGGUUUGGCAAUUUUCUUCGGAACUUUUUUACCUGGCGCGUCAUUCCGCGCUUUGCAUAAUGAUUGAUAUCGAUUAAUGAUGAAUUAAUAGUUAAUAAUAAUUUAAUUUUUCGUUUAUUCAAUAUGUAUUUCAGGGACACAACGCGAUGUUUAGCUUUAGAAAAAAGCCUGAUCACUAAUGUAUCUCUAAGUUAACAAUGGGAGCAAAAUAAUCUAAACAGAAUCACUUUUAAUGAUAGAGGGAAUAGCCUGCUCGUCUGGAACUUUGCUUGGAAGUCUCGUAUGACGCAUUAUUCGGUGCUUUAUCGCAAUUAUCAGUUGAAGUCAAUUAGUAAUCGAUAUUAAUUUAAUAAUUAUCUUGUUUGUUUCAGUAUACGUUCUAAUGACUCAACGUUUGAUUUUAGCAAAAGCCUGGUCACGUGAUAUAUUUCUGUUUAAUCCAGCAAAACUAUUUUUAAUAAUUUUUUAAUAAUAGAAUCCUCGCCUGGCUAUUUUGCUAAGAACUUUUUUGCCUGGCGCAUUCAAAAAUCAAUGUUAUCUUGUUUCAGUAUGGAAAUCGAUCUUCUUUCAAAGAUAUGCCUACGUAUACAUUGAUACGUUGUAAUUUUAUAUCGAUCGAAAAACAUAAAUAUAAACGAGAUUAAUAAAUAAGGAAAAAGAAUAGACAAGACACAAAUAAGUAAAUAUCUCAAACUAAUAUCUUUCAAAUUGUAGAGACAAGAUUGCAUAGGUCGAUGACAUUUAUAAGAAUAAGUCGGUACUUUACUUUGCCAGGGUGAAAUUAAAUUCAACCAAGAUAAAUGGGGGCGCUAAGCGUGCUUCGCUUCGGUGAACAUGUGAAAUGUAAAUUAGUUUGAAUUAAGGUGGAGUUCACUGGUCAGGCUUCUAUUAAAUGUAUAAAUACGCGUGGACGGUUUCCAGCGACUGCGAUUCGUGUUUCGUGUCGCGUUACCAGCUGCGACACUGUUUCUAAUUAAACGAUACGCUCUUUUAACAAAUCGUUGGAAUUCAUUUUUGUUUUUGAUUAUGGUUAAGUGAAUAAUUUAAACAAUUAUGGUUAUGUGGAUAAUUUAAAUAAUUGCGAUUGAUAAUUACAAUUAUAUAAUAC
rnacentral:lncRNA from 1 species